UAAUGUGUUUGCUGCAUAUUCUAUAUAAUAAAUUAGAGCAAUUUUAAAAUGGCAGCAGCUAUUUCUCAUUAUUUCUAUAAACCAUUGCUUGAUAUGGAUUAUAGGAUGUUAAGAAUCUAAGUUUUGAUGGCAAAUGAGUGAAGUUUGUGCAUAUAUGUAUAAGUCUAAGUUAAGGAGAACCUAUUGCAUUUGGUGGGUAGUAGCUAUUGCAAGUAAUUGUUGCCAUUUUUAUAUGAACUAACAUAGAAAUGGAUAUAUUCUCAAUAUUUUUGUGAUGGAUACCAUUGGUUAAUGCUCAAUAGCUUCAAUCUUGUUAGGUAACGAUUCGAUGGUAAACAUAAUUUACUAUAAUC